rnacentral:rRNA from 1 species
AUUCGAUCAUGGCAGAUUGAACGCUGGCGGGAUGCUUUACACAUGUGCAAGUCGAACGGCGGCACGGACUUCGGUCUGGUGGCGAGUGGCGAACAGGUAGUGAAAAUAUGACGGAACGUGCUAGUAGCGGGGGAUAACCGCGGCCAGCUAAGCUAAUACCGCAUACGCCCUUCGGGGAAAAGCAGGGGACCUUCGGGCCUCGCACUAUUAGAGCGGCCGAUAUCGGAUUAGCUGGUUGGUGGGAGUAACGGCUCACCAGAGCGACGAUCCGUGGCUGGUUUGAAGGACGACCAGCCACUGGGACUGAGACGGCCCAGACUCCUACGGGAGGCAGCAGUGAAAUUUUUGGACGGUAGGAAACCCUGAGUCAGCCAUCCCGCGUGUGCGUGAAGGCCUUCCGGGUUGUAAAGCACUUUUUGGCAAGGAAAGAAACGGCGCAAGGAUGUCACAUUGCAGCCUGGCGGUGCCUGCAGAAUAAGCACCGGCUAACUACUGAUGCCGGCGGCCGCGGUAAUACGUAGGGGUGCAAGCGUUAAUCGGAAUUACUGAGCGUAAAGCGUGCGCAGGCGGUUCGGAAAAGAAGAUGCUUGAAAUCCCAGGCUUAACUUUGGAACUGCACAUUUUUAACUACCGAGCUAGAGUGUGUCAGAGGAGGUGGGAAUUCCGCGUGCUGAUGAAAUGCGUAGAUGUAGGAGGAACACCGAUGAAAAACAGCCUCCUGGGGAUAACACUGACGCUCAUGCUGUGAAAGCGUGGGGAGCAAACGGGAUUAAAUACCUGGUGAUCCACGCCUAAGCGAUGUCAACUAGCUGUUGGGGCCUUCGGGCCUUGGUAGCGCAGCUAACGCGUGAAGUUGACCGCCUGGGUGCAGUCGCAAGUUAAAACUCAAAAUUGACAGGGACCCGCACAAGCGGUGGAUGAUGUGGAUUAAUUCGAUGCAACGCGAAAAACCUUACUACCCUUGACAUGUCUGGAAUCCCGAAGAGAUUUGGGAGGUGCUCGCAAGAGAACCGGAACACAGGUGCUGCAUGGUAGUCGUCAGCUCGUGUCGUGAGAUGUUGGGUUAAGUCCCGCAACGAAGCGCAACCCUUGUCAUUGGUUGCUACGAAAGGGCACUCUAUUGAGACUGCCGGUGACAAACCGGAGGAAGGUGGGGAUGACGUCAGAAAUCCUCAUGGCCCCAUAUGGGUAGGGCUUCACACGUCAUACAAUGGUCGGGACUGAAGGGUCGCCAACCCGCGAGGGAGCCAAUCCCAGAAACCCGAUCACGUAGUCCGGAUCGCAGUCUGUGCAACUCGACUGCGUGAAGUCGGAAUCGCUAGUAAUCGCGGAUCAGCAUGUCACGGCGAAUACGUUCCCGGGUCUUGUACACUGCGCCCGUCACCUGCAGCGGGGUGGGUUUGCAGAAGUAGUUCGCCUAACCGUAAGAGGGCGAUUACCACGGUAAGUUCAUGACUGGGGUGAAGUCGUAGCGCAAGGUAA